AUCUAGAAUGGACCACCAACAAAAGGACAUCCAGCCAAUGUCAAGCCAAUUUAACACAACUGUGGGAAGCAUUGGAGUCAACAUGAGCCAGCAUCCCUGUGGAACGCUUGACACCUUGUAGAGUUGACUCCAACUUGACACCCUGAUGAACUGAGGGUGAUCUGACGGGAAAAGGGGGAAUGCAACUGAAUAUUAGUUUUCUUAAUGUUUUAUGUUUUAGGUCUAUCAACAUUUUUGGCCUAAUUGCUAAAGGCUGCCAGUGCAUGUUGGGCCAUUGCUCGAGGAGAGUGAGUCAAAGAGAGAGACAUUGCAGCACCAGGGAAGUUGAAUUCAAUUUGGGGAAAAACUCAGAUUCAAAACCAGAGACAACAUCUUGGUACUGUACCUUGCCAGCAAGAAAUGGUAAAAGAGAAAAGAGAAUCAAACACUAUGUUAAGCAGGUUUCUGGUGUUUUCUGAAGCCAAUGUAGCAUGGUGAAUGUACAGUGCCUUCCGAAAGUAUUCGGCCCCCUUGAACUUUGUGACCUUUUGCCACAUUUCAGGCUUCAAACAUAAAGAUAUAAAACUGUAUUUUUUUGUGAAGAAUCAACAACAAGUGGGACACAAUCAUGAAGUGGAACGACAUUUAUUGGAUAUUUCAAACUUUUUUAACAAAUCAAAAACUGAAAAAUUGGGCGUGCAGACAAUGUAACUUGUCUCUGAAAUGUUAGUUAUCACGCAAAUGUGGUCCCCGGACCACCUGUGUUACACUUCACCCCCCUUUGACGUCUUCCUCGAAGAGACCAAUCAAAGUAACAUAACCAAUGCCUAGGCUUUAGCUCAGUAGGCUAACAAAGUCUUAACCCAGUCACGUUACCCUUAUAAUGAGUACUUGAAACAAACCAAUCUUCAGUUUCUCAUCACAUAAGCCUGGGUCACCAAAAAAUUCUCUUUUGAUGAUUAACCUUGCAGGAUUAUGCAGACUUGUAUUAGUGUAGCAGAUUGGGAUCUGUGAAACUCACUCCUCAGCCUGAAGUGUGACCCCUUGCGCUAUUGAAGAAGCCUUUUUUAAAUGGCGUGAUGGGAUGGUAUGGUACAGGAGGACGGUCACGUGUGUUUUUAAAGCAGAGGUCCCGAGUUUGAGUCUCUGUAUAAGCUGAAUCAGGGGGAAGCGGUACUCGCUAAGCAAGCUGGACUCUCACAACAGCCUGAAGUCACCCUAUCAAGCCUAGCUAGCUAAGUUAGACCUGCUGGCUACUGGCCAAAUUAGCUAACGUUCUUGUUUCGAGUUAAUAAGAUAAAUAAAACAUCUCAAAUUAGCUACUCACUUUAACUGCUUUGAGGUAUUUUCUGAAUAGUUUCUCACUUUGUUUUUCCAGUUGUCAGUUCGACCACAGCAUUUACACACUCAUUUGUGGCGCCCAAAUAAAGAAAAUGACGGUUUGUAUUCUGCAGCAGAAAAAAAGUGGUUCUUGUUGCUAGGCUACCAGUUACAGUGCUUGUAGCUUGCGGUUUGCACCUUUAUGAAUUAUAUGGAUUUAAUAUAUAACAAAGUAUUGAGCAUGUCCUCAAAACUCAAAUAAACAGACAAUGUAAAUCAAAACGCAUAUCAAGAUCCUGAUACGGACCUCAGUCAAGAGCAUAUGCAUUGUAUUUGUUGAGAAAAUAUACUAUGUAGCCGUAUUGUUAGCCAACAGAUCCGAGCCACUUGCUUACAGCUGCAAUAGGGUCAGACAGGCUUCCUGUAUAGAUUAAGACACUGUGGAGCCAGCGUGAGAUAUAGUUUGGAAAAAGUACAUAAAUCCAGGGAUGAGAAAUGCACUGUUCUACGAAUUGCCCCAUUAUUCCAACUACCCCAAGACGAUUGAACUAAUGCUAGUUUUUUGGUUUGUUAUUAAAGUUGUAUAUAUUUUUUCCACAAACACAUUUUUUAAAAACAACAUACAGCAUAACAAUAUUGAGCAUGACAUCCAGACAUAUCCUCUGAAGGGGUUAAACCAAGGCCUCAUACCUUUUAAAGGUUUAAUAAAUUGUGUUAAAUUGUGAUAAACUGUAAGGAGACCUCUGGGUGUGUGGUAACAUCUGUUUUGAGUGUUGUCCCCUUCAGACACUAUCAGAAGGCGGAAACCGUGGCUAUCUGAGUUUCUGCGAACACGACUGUUUCCCUGAGAACACAAGGCUGCCGCAGGCCUGAUGAAAACAGCCUCCUGUCAGAAGAUGCUUAGACUCGUUCACCUUGUUAUGACCCUAUUCUUGUGAUGAAAAGUCAUGUUUCGGUCAAACCCACUUCUGAACUUUUAAUUGCUGACAAGAUGGUUGCUGCUGUCAGGGAGAGGUUAGAUUUAUUAAAAUGUUGUUGCCAGGGAAAGUCACGCAAGGGGGACUGGGGAGGCUAUAUGAGUACAGGAUGUCUUAGACACUGCAGAACCUGGGGAGAGAAUCAUAUACUGUACUCUGUACCAACUUCUGCCUAUAAUUGUAUUACUAAAGGAUAUCUUAAUACUUAUUAAACAAAGAGUCAGUGUUUACUUUCUACUACAAAUAUAUAUAUAUAAGUUUGUAAAUUAUAUAGACCUAAUCAUCUGUUGAAGAAAUUGACCAACACUUUGGUGAGCUUUCCAGGAUCGAGUGACCACUUCGCUAGACUGACCAUUGAUCCACGUGCAAGAGCUACAAAAUUAUAAGGAAGGCCCAGGAAGUUCAAGAACAGGGCGACCCAGACAGCCUGCCUGUUGACGUUGGAGAGUGGAUCAAGCUGAAGGUCCACAAACAAACAUGGAACCACCCCAGAUGGAUGGGCCCAUAACAGGUCAUCUCAGCAACACCCACAGCAGUGAAGGUCCAGGAGCACCAGGGGUGGCACCACCUAUCACACUGCCAGAAGACGUCACAGCCCUCAUAACAGAUAAGAGUGCACAACCAGACCCAGAUGUUGUCACACAUGAACAUUAUGCUCACAUUGUUAAAAACAAAACUUGGGGUAAACCUUUAAAAAGGUACAUGUUUUUGGUUGUUCUUAUUCUGCACCAGCAGUCUCUGCUCAGUGGAAUAGAGAUCCAGGAGAACCAAUUGAAAACCAGUAAUCAAUGGGUAAACAUGGUCCAAAACCAGAGUAGACGAGUCACGCCAAGUGGUUCGUAUGUAGUCGUUUUGAAAAACCCUCGGAGUGAGUUGUUUGGAUCAAUUGUCGUAGGUGAUUGGAUUAACAACGUCACCUACUCCAUGCAGGCCCAUAUGAAUUUGACUAUUGCUGGUUUUGCCCUCCUUUCCACUGAUGUUCAGAGUCUUAAAGCUGUUACAGCCAGGUAUAGCCUGGCAUUAGACAACAUCCUGGAUAAGGAGGGGGGAUACUGCAGGGCCCUAAAUUCUAUUUCCACCGACUGAAUGUGCUAUGCUUCUCCUUGACUCCUCUGACAGAGAUUUUGAAAGAAUUAACACGGUUGGCUGAUACCUACACCCCCACAGGAGAAGACUCCUGGUUCCCGUUUGGGUGGUUGAAAGAUAAAUUAGGACAUUUUGGAUUUAAGUUGUUUUCCAUUUUGGUUCCAUUACUGCUCCCACUGAUCGUUUUGUUAAUUUGCAUUUGUGCAUUCUGUGCAGCUGGCAAAUGUGUACUUCAUAAGGCUAUGCCAGGCAUGUUUAUGCUUCAUGUUCCUCAUCCCCCAGACCCUUAUUUCUAUUCUCAAUCUCCUGAGGAUUGCUUGCAAUCUAACGCACCUUUUGUGGAUGAUUCUUAUAAUCAUUAUGCUUGAGUUACUUCACUUUUGUUGAGGCCUUGAGGCAGUUCGACCACAGCAUUUACACACUCAUUUGUGGCGCCCAAGUAAAAAAAUGACGGUUUGAAUUCUGCAGCAGAAAAAAAGUGGUUAUUGUUGCUAGGCUAACAGUUACAGUGCUUGUAGCUUGCGGUUUUGCGCCUUUAUGUCUAAGAAUUAUAUGGCAAUAAUAUUUCAAAUUAUAUGUCAAUAAUAUUUCAAAUUAUUGAACAUGUCCUCAAAACUCAAAUAAACAGAAAAUGUAGUAUAUCAAAAUGCACAUAAAUAUCCUGAUACGGAACUCAGUCAAAAAGCAUAUGUAGUGUAUUUGUUGAGAAUAUAUACUAAAUUCGACAAAAAAAGACACGUCCCUUUUUCAGGAACCUGUCUUUCAAAGAUAAUUUGUAAAAAUCCAAAUAACUUCACAGAUCUUCAUUGUAGAGGGU